GACGAACGCUGGCGGCGUGCUUAACACAUGCAAGUCGAACGGAAAGGCCCCUUUGGGGGUACUCGAGUGGCGAACGGGUGAGUAACACGUGAGUAACCUGCCCUUGACUUCGGGAUAACUUCAGGAAACUGGGGCUAAUACCGGAUAGGAAUCCUUGCUGCAUGGUGGGGGUUGGAAAGCUUCGGCGGUUUUGGAUGGACUCGCGGCUUAUCAGCUUGUUGGUGGGGUAGUGGCUUACCAAGGCUUUGACGGGUAGCCGGCCUGAGAGGGCGACCGGCCACAUUGGGACUGAGAGACGGCCCAGACUCCUACGGGAGGCAGCAGUGGGGAAGAUUGCACAAUGGGCGGAAGCCUGAUGCAGCAACGCCGCGUGCGGGAUGACGGCCUUCGGGUUGUAAACCGCUUUCAGCAGGGGCGAAGCUUGUGGUGACGGUACCUGCAGAAGAAGCACCGGCUAACUACGUG
rnacentral:rRNA from 1 species